GGGGAAUUUUCCGCAAUGGGCGCAAGCCUGACGGAGCAACGCCGCGUGGGGGAGGAAUGUCUGUGGAUUGUAAACCCCUUUUCUCAGGGAAGAAGAUCUGACGGUACCUGAGGAAUCAGCAUCGGCUAACUCCGUGCCAGCAGCCGCGGUAAGACGGAGGAUGCAAGCGUUAUCCGGAAUUAUUGGGCGUAAAGCGUCCGUAGGCGGUUUAUCAAGUCUGUCGUUAAAGACUGCAGCUUAACUGUGGGCGAGCGGUGGAAACUGAUUAACUAGAGAGUGGUAGGGGUAGAGGGAAUUCCCAGUGUAGCGGUGAAAUGCGUAGAUAUUGGGAAGAACACCAGUGGCGAAGGCGCUCUACUGGGCCACAACUGACGCUGAGGGACGAAAGCUAGGGGAGCGAAAGGGAUUAGAUACCCCUGUAGUC
rnacentral:rRNA from 1 species